rnacentral:rRNA from 1 species
AGAGUUUGAUCCUGGCUCAGGAUGAACGCUAGCGGCAGACCUAACACAUGCAAGUCGGACGGUAAAUAUUGUAGCAAUACGAUAUGAGAGUGGCAAACGGGUGAGUAACGCGUAUGCAACCUACCCUUAACUGAGGGAUAGCUCGGAGAAAUUCGGAUUAAUACCUCAUGUUAUUAUGAUCGGGCAUCUGAUAAUAAUAAAAGUUUUAAUGGUUAAGGAUGGGCAUGCGUGCCAUUAGCUAGUUGGUAAGGUAACGGCUUACCAAGGCGACGAUGGCUAGGGGGUCUGAGAGGAUGGUCCCCCACACUGGUACUGAGACACGGACCAGACUCCUACGGGAGGCAGCAGUGAGGAAUAUUGGUCAAUGGAGGCAACUCUGAACCAGCCAUGCCGCGUGAAGGAAGAAGGUCCUAAGGAUUGUAAACUUCUUUUGUACGGGGGUAAUUUUCGGAUCGUGAUCUGAAUUGAAAGUACUGUACGAAUAAGCGUCGGCUAACUACGUGCCAGCAGCCGCGGUAAUACGUAGGACGCAAGCGUUAUCCGGAUUCAUUGGGUUUAAAGGGUGCGUAGGCGGACUUUUAAGUCAGCGGUGAAAGACUGUCGCUCAACGAUAGCAUUGCCAUUGAUACUGGGAGUCUUGAGUGCAGAUGAGGUAGGCGGAAUGUGUAGUGUAGUGGUGAAAUACUUAGAUAUUACACAGAACACCGAUUGCGAAGGCAGCUUACUAAAUUGCAACUGACGCUGAGGCACGAAAGCGUGGGGAUCAAACAGGAUUAGAUACCCUGGUAGUCCACGCCGUAAACGAUGAUAACUGGUUGUUGGCGAUAUACAGUCAGCGACUGAGCGAAAGCAUUAAGUUAUCCACCUGGGGAGUACGUCGGCAACGAUGAAACUCAAAUGAAUUGACGG